CCCGCCCCCGCUCCCCCGCCUCCCCGCUGCGCUGGCGCCCAGCGCAGCCCGGCAGGGCCAGGCUAACGCGCAUGCUCGCAGCCGGAGGCCUUGCUUUUUAUCCCGCAGCGCGGAUUCGGCCGCGCCGCGUUUAUAGCCACGCCCAGGGAGGGGUCCUCGGGAGGGCCGGAGCUGUGAUCUCGGGGUUGGGAGUCUGCGGUGAUGCCGAGGCUUGUCCAGCGCGACCCUAGACCAGCGGCUUGUGGGGCGGCUGGGCGUGCAAAGAGGGUUCUGGAUGAGGAAAAGGAAUGUUCAGAGUGGUCAAAUGGCUUCCUGAGAUCACACAGCAAGCUAGCGAAGAGCCAGCUGUGGACCUCGUCGCUCCAUGCCCAAUCUUUUCCUCCCACCACCACAUCUGGAAUGUACCCAAACUGCCCCUCAGGCUUCCAGGAGAGCCUCCAAGAGAGUCAGUCCCAAGACUGCUAGCAAGCUGCUGCACAGCCACCACAUCCUCCACCACAAAGAGAGAUGGCGAGGUGGGGCUCAUCAGAAUCUUUAUUUGGAAAUGAACUGCUCAAAAAGCUGCAUUGAUGAGCUUUUCCUUUUAGAAUUAUAAAUAUUUACAAUAAUCAUUAUUUUGCUGUGAAUCGAUUUCUGUCAGGCAAUUAAGAGUCGUCCUGGUCUGCUGACAGUAUUGGUUUGAUGCCGGUUUGCCUUUCUAGCAGCAGCAUUUUAAUGGUAUUUAUUGAUUAGCAGAUGGAUUGCUCCUAGGUGUUGUGACCAAACAAAUUUUGGAAAUGAAGCAAUUUAAAAUUUGUCUCAAAACCCAAUUACUUCAGAAUACAGAAGACAAAUUAAAAGAAGAAACUGUGGACUGUGGAUGAUGGUUCCUGGUUAAUUAUUUGGAAAGCUAUGAUUUUCUCUACUAUUCCCAUGGCAUUUUCUUCCUCCUACCCAUUCAUCAUUCAGAGAAGAGUUACUGAGCACCUAUUAUUACUGGAAACUGUCCUGGCCAUAGGCAGAUGGAAAUGACAAUGAGAUGGCCCCUUUCUGUGGGGAAUCCAGGUUUGUAAAUGGGGAGAUGAGUCCACAGCUGGCUCUUCCAUGGCCUUACUAUGUGAUUUGCAAAUUUUCAAUCAGCAAACAUCUUUAUUCUUUCUCUUUGCCAGUAGUAUUUCAAAAUGCUUUCAAUUAAUGAAGACACAUUUGUGGAACUGGAUGUAAAUCACUCAGAAGUAUAUAAUUAAUGGCAACCUGCUUCAGUGAUGGUUCCUAGAGGAGAGUGGCUUCCCAGCUGCCCGCUGGUGGCAGUCGGCCUCAUGAAGCUAGAAUGUGAAUGGUGUUGAUAAAUUUAUCGACAUGAAAUGGCGCCUAGUUAUAUAAGAAAUAUAAUUAAUUUGCACAACUAAAUAUAUUUGUGUCAAUAAUUUAAAAUUAUAUCCAAUAUCUUUAUAAGAAAUAGACAUUUACAUGAAAACGUAAAUGUAAAUAUAAAUAGACAAAGAUAAAUGUAAUAUAUAAAUGUAAAUGUAAAUAGACAUUUACAUGAAAAUUAUGUCCCUAUAGUUUAGGGACAUAAUUUCAUAAAAUGCUUUCUUGAAAGCAGGUUCUGAUAAAGGAUACAUAGAAGCGAUCUCAAAAUAAUGGGUCUUGGCUGGGCGUGGUGGAUCAUGCCUGUAAUCCUAACACUUUGGGAGGCUAAGCCCAGGAGCUCAAGGCUGCACUAAGCUAUGAUCUCCUCCAACCUGAGCAGCAACAAAGCAAGACCCUGUCUCUAAAAUUAAAAACUAUAUAUAUAUGUAUGUAUGUAUGUAUAUGUACACACACACACAUAUAUUAAUGGACAAGGCAUCCAACAAUGAUAAAAUCACAGGUGAGAAUAAUCAGUUAAAAAUCUAAAUAGUCACAUUGUAAAAAUAAUCCACUUGAAAAUCAUAUAAAAGAGGACAUAGUAAUACUAGAACUAGAUGAGCAAUCUCACUAUGAACAUAACUACAACCUUAAGAAACAGCAUCUUUUCCACCUGUCUUUUCCGUGGACCUGGAGUGCUAUCACAUCCCCAGUCUGCCUGUGCAUUCCUGUGUAUACUGUCAGUACCCAAAUAUUAAUCUCCCCAGUGGUUUUCAUUAGCAGUGGCCGGGAGUCCUGCAAAGAAGCUGAUUCCGCGUGUGGGAGUAAGGGAACAUCAGAAUGGCCUGAAACACCUUGCUAUUCUCAGAAAACCAGGUUCCUUCCAAAAAUUCUGGGUUAAUGCUGACAGGACAAAGGAGCAGGCAGUGACAAUUUGCAUAUCACAACAACUGUUUUGUUGAUCUACAAGUUGACUCUGAAAAGCUGUGAGGCUUUACUGAUAAAACGUUAACAUUGUAUGUACAAAAAUACACCCAUAACUGUAAUUACAAAACCAGUUACAAUUUAAAGAAAGGGUAAAAAUAGGAUAUUUUAGUAAAUAGGGAUAUUUGGUAGAUAUGAGAUCCUGUUUCUUACUUGAAGUUCUGUAUGUCUGUUUAUGAAAUGGUAUAUUUGUAUAAGUUCAAGGGGCAUAUAAGUUUACUAAGUAAGAGUAAGUCAGGCCGGGCGCGGUGGCUCACGCCUGUAAUCCCAGCACUUUGGGGGAUCAAGGCAGGUGGAUCACGAGGUCAAGAGAUCGAGACCAUCCUGGUCAACAUGGUGAAACCCCGUCUCUACUAAAAAUACAAAAAAUUGGCUGGGCAUGGUGGCACGUGCCUGUAAUCCUAGCUACUCAGGAGGCUGAGGCAGGAGAAUUGCCUGAUCCCAGGAGGCGGAGGUUGCAGUGAGCCGAGAUCGCGCCAUUGCACUCCAGCCUGGGUAACAAGAGCGAAACUCCAUCUCAAAAAAAAAAAAAAAAAAGAGUAAGUCAAAGACUUCCAGAAGACUAGGAACCGUGCCAAAAUCAGUAAGGGCAGGUCAGGACCAGUGGUCUCAUAAAUAACCAGGUAAAAGGGGGGCUUAAUAAUUUAUGUUGCAAGUUAAUGGAUUAGCCAGAUGUCCUAAGGGAGAAGCUGAUAGAUUAAACUGCUAUAUGGCCCUGCUAAUUUUAAUGAAAUGCUAAUGAUGCAUAAUGAAGGUUAUUGUAAACUGUGGCAGAACAUCACAUACCCAAGACUUCAUGCACAUGGGAGUGAAAAUUGCAAGAACUUGUUGUAAGUCCUGUUAACAUAACAGUUGAAAUGAUCUGAGGGACCCCAAACGAGCCAAUGCCUGCUGCCACCAAGAAUCCACCAGUCAAGGCCCAUGGCUGCCAUUCAGUGCACCUGGGAAGGAGAUCAUCUUUCUCUCUGCCAUCCAAUAAGUGCAAUCCUGAAAAAAUUUAAAAUACAUAUUGUAGAGAUGACAAAGAAAUUGGUCACGUCAAUAACACCGUUUUUUGGACAUAGAGUCUUGCUGUCACCCAGGCUGGAGUGCAGUGGUGGCAAGAUCUCGGCUCACUGCAACCUUCACCUCCAGGAUUCAGACCUCCUGCCUCAGACUCCUGAGUAGUUGGGAUUACGAGCACUUGCAACCACUCCCAGCUACUUUUUGUGUUUUUAGUAGAGAUGGGGUUUUACCGUGUCGGCCAGGCUGGUCUCGAACUCUUGACCUCAAGGGAUAUGCUGCCUUGGCCUCUCAGAGUACUGGAAUUACAGGUGUGAGCCACACACCCAGCCUAAUAACUGUUUUUACAAAAUUAAGGUAUGUGUGCAGUAAAAACUUUUGUGUUAAAUUUUAAAGUGUUUGAAGCAUUUUGAAAUUACAUUCAACAGUUACAUUGAAACAAGAUUAUUUGUGUAAAUGUUUAGAAAAAUUUUAUUUUGAAAGUUUUAUCAGUUGUAUUUAAAUAGUUUAGGGAUAAAGGUGACUAUAUAACACAUUUUUCUUAAGUCAACUAUAAGUAGGAGUAACAGACCCAUGAUUUAAAAAAAAAAAGGGACAGGGAGUGAAAUAUGGAUCCCAGCAACUGAAAGGAAAACCAGGAGAGCUACUGGAGCCUAGCACUGUCGGGGUGUACAGCUGGGACCCACUAAACAGUUGUUGAAGAAAGGGAGAAGGGGUAGAGGGAGGAAAAGGAAAAAUACAUAAUUAAGCAUUUAUUUGUAGUUGUAGUGGAAAUAGCAUUGCUUUGGAUGUUCAGAAGAGAGAAAAAGUAUUUCAAAUAAAGCAUGGCAUCUGGUGUCCGUACUAGAGGGCUGGUUAAACGGAUGGUUCAGCCAUACGUGGAAAUACGACACGGCAGUUUGAAAGAAUGAGAGUGGCACGUGUGGGGACCCAGGGUGUGCUCUGCAAUACAUCCUUGAGUGAAAAGAGCCAGGUGCAGGACAGCAUCUGGAGCACACUGUCACUUGUGAACAUGAUUGUACCUGCAUACGAAAGCUGAAAAUGUGGAAAGAUACUGGCCAUAGGGUGGACAGCUUUGGAGACAGUGGCUGGGCCGGGAGAUCUGGCUCACAGGAAGACUGACUUCCCUGAACAUUCUUUUGAAAUAUUGAGAUAUUUUACCAUAGGCGUGUACUGCCUUUUCAGAGAAGAAAGGGGAGGAUUUGGAAGCCCAAUCUCUGGUCCUACUUUUAUUACUCAGUAGCUUUGACUUUGGGCAAGUAACUUAUCUGCAAGGUGCUUCGUUUCUCUGGACAAUGAAGGUGUUGAGUCCCACAUCAGGGGGUGGUGGAAGGGAAAUGAGACAAGAGUUCAGAAAGUGCAGUUGAGUACCGUGGGUAGGGGUGAAUCGGGUGGUCUCAGCCCCUUUGGGGACCACAGAAGCUCAGCAGCAGCAGCAGCAGCAGCAGCAAAAGUGACAGCCAACACACGGAACGGUGUUUGACUUAACUGCUCCCACGAGCCAGCCGCAGAACUCGAAAAAGUCACCUUAACGUCUCUGGAUUUUAGUUCUCUUAUCUGCAAAAGGGCAGUGGUGGGAGAGUGGCAAUUAUACUAGAUGGUUCACUUCAGCUAAAAAAGACCAAAAAGCAUGAUUUUAAUAUUGGUUGGAAAUGAUUCAGUGCAGUAACAGAGGCAUUAAAAAAAGCCCCCAGGGGAGUUUACAGUACAGAGCUAUCACUUCCAGCUGCAAAUGUGCAGAGAGGAGGACAUUGCAGAAGGGAGAAACUCGUGGUCUCUUUACCUAAGUCACCCACACCUUGAUGCCAGGCACCUGUUCACUCUUUCAGCUAUUUUUGUAAAGGCCAACAGAAAAGAGAGUUACCUGGACCGUCUGUAAAAUGGUGGCCCCCAAGGAACUAUGCUUCCUUGUAAUGAAAUCCUAGUGUGAUCCCCUCUGACACUGACUUUGGGAUUGGCCAUGUGACUUGCUUUCGCCAUGAGACACAAACACAGCACAAGCACAAGCACAGACUUGAUAAGCACUUGCACACUGGGGCUUUGGACACUGCCUCUGGAAGCCAGCCUCCAUGCUGCCAGGAAGCUCAAGCCAAACUACCAGAUGACGAGAGGACAUGGAGAGGAAACCCGGAGGACAGGAGUCCUCAUGGGCAUCCAAGUCUUAGCUGUUCCCCAGCCAGUGCCACCACAUGGGCAACCUCAGCAACCCUGCAUUGUGCAAAAGAACUACCCAGCUGAAGCCAGUCCACCCACAGGAUUGCAAAACAUGGUAACCUGUUGUUGAUUUCAGCCACUAAGUACGGGAGUCAUUUGUUGGGCAGCAAUAGGUAACUCAGUCUUGUGGGAAGCUAGGAUUUCCGUUUCAGGGGGGGCUUUGAGAGUUGCUGAGUCCAUUUGGAAGAAGGACGCAAUCUUAAGCUUGCUUCCCCAGGAUUUCAGUUUCAGGGAGUCCAUUUGGGGGAAGCUAGGAUUUCCGUUUCAGGGAGGGUUUCGAGAGUUGCUGACUCCAUUUGGGGGAAGGAUGUAGUCCUAAGCUUGCUUCCCCAGAAGCAAAAGGGGAAUAAGAUAAACAGACCUUGGGUUGUUUGGCUUCAAGCUGUCUUUCAACCAAAGAAACUUUACUGAAGAAAAAAGGAGAAACUUGGCUGAGAUCUGAAGUGUGAUGAGAAUACGGAUCAGGGAAGACAGACCAGGAGGCCUCUCUGAAAGUAGGAAGCCACAGAAGCAACAGUGCCAAGGAGGACAACCCAGGGUGGUCCUGGCUGCAAGAGGACACCUUGCUGAGAGCACCGCAGUUGGCAGGAAGCAGGCAUUUUCCAGAAGAAUCCUGAAGGAAAAUACUCUGUUCUGCUCUCAGCUAACCUAUGCAACUAUCAGACCACGUACUCCAUAGAGUCCAGAGGUGGCUGCUGGGGGUGAAGUGGAAAUCGAAUGGAAUAAAAUAAUAUGGCGGCAUGGGCCCAGCCUUCUAGGGCUUUCCACACCAUUCAUCUCACAUAACCUUCACACCAUCCUGCAGGGUUGGGAGGGCAUGCAUAAAAAGCCUCAUCCCAAAGAUGAAAGAACAGAGAACAAAAAGGGCUAAGGGACUUUUGUGAGGCCACACAGCAAUCUGGGACCUGGAAACGUGAGCUCAUGCAUCCCAGGCCUUUCUGCUGUGCCUCUAUCAUCCCCUCGUCCAGAGAGGGUGGUGGCUCUGCAUGUGUUUAGUCGGAAGUGUGGGGUGAGAACAGCCACUGGAAAGAAAGCCCCGUUGUGACAAGGUUAUGCUCUGAGCUGCCUGGCCCACUCACCCCGCUGGCCUGUGUUCUACCCAGGGCGGGCCACAUGUCCCAGGGUUUCUGCUGAGCAACUGGUCAGCAUGCUGCUGAGCACCCAGGCCCCAUGUGAAAUGGUCAGCGGCUUUCCUUCUACCAGUGCCAGCUGCUGCAGCUGCCAGCCUCUGCCUGGCCUCCACCACUGAUGCCGCUGUAAGAAGAAGAUUCCCGUCUUAACAGAGUUACUCGCUGUGAAAGGAAGAAGGUUCCCAUCUUAACAGAGUUACUCGCUGUGAAAGGAAGAAGGUUCCCGUCUUAGAGUUACUCGCUGUGAAAGGAAGAAGGUUCCCGUCUUAACAGAGUUACUCGCUGUGAAAGGAAGAAGGUUCCCGUCUUAACAGAGUUACUCGCUGUGAAAGGAAGAAGGUUCCCGUCUUAACAGAGUUACUCGCUGUGAAAGGAAGAAGGUUCCCGUCUUAACAGAGUUACUCGCUGUGAAAGGAAGAAGGUUCCCGUCUUAGAGUUACUCGCUGUGAAAGGAAGAAGGUUCCCGUCUUAACAGAGUUACUCGCUGUGAAAGGAAGAAGGUUCCCGUCUUAACAGAGUUACUCGCUGUGAAAGGAAGAAGGUUCCCGUCUUAGAGUUACUCGCUGUGAAAGGAAGAAGGUUCCCGUCUUAACAGAGUUACUCGCUGUGAAAGGAAGAAGAUUACCAUCUUAACAGAAUUCUCAUGCAUGCCUUUCAAACCGAGGCGCUCACAGGUUGAUGGAAGAGGAUGACACAGAGUGGAGGCAGCUGCACUCGGGUGUUUAUAAUGCACAUACAUGAUUCAUCUCAAACCAGACAAGCGUGAUUCACCUGAUGGCUCGCCAUUUCUCAGAGAUGCCAGCCGUCUUACAACUCUGAGCCUCUGCAGGUGUCUAGAACAUUUUACCCAGAUUUCUCUACCUGCUAGACUUUUUUCCAUCCUUCAAAACUCAGACAAAAUGUCCCUGCUCUGCGAAGCCCUCCUUUCUUCCCAGGCGGCUCUGACAGCACCUUUCCAUGAUUCUUACAUAAUGUACCAUAUCUGUUCAUGUACUUGACUUCCCUGUUGAACAGAGCACUCCUGCAGGCCAGCAGCAGGGACGGACUCACCUCCCGUGCCUUCUCCCCAGCAGAGGACCUCAGCCAUCAUGGUUGAAGCAGUUGGUAGGGAACUGACAAUCCGGUGUAAGGAAAUUUUUAAAACUGUCAGCAAGUUCACUGAAUAACAUUUGGGGGGAAUUCACUAUGAAAAAGGGAGCAGGCCAUUAAUUCAUUCCUUAAGUAUUUAUGGAGUGCCUACCAAGUGCCCAAGUGUGCUCCAAAGAUGCACUGGGGAGGCAGAGGAUCUGUCCUCAGAUCCAGAUUUCACAGCCCCGUGGAGGAAGUGAUGCCUAACGAGGUGAGUGCCAUACAGCGCAGCACUCAUGGGAGAAAACUGCUCUGGAGCAAAGGCAGGGGGACAGAGUCCACCUGAGGAGUCCGGAAGAUGUGGGAGGCACAAUGCAGGGGAGUGGAGAGUCCCUGGGAAGAGUGCCUCAGGCUGAAGGGACAACCUAGGCGAGAAAUAGCCCGCCAGUCACAGGGGAUUUUGGUCAGAAGGGGAGGCCAGAAGGUAAGAAAACCGGGUUUGCCCGAUCGCAUUUAAGAGUGGCUCUCUUGGCCAGCCUUAUUGAGGUGGCUGUUUUGAGUUGUUCUCACCAGCCCCCACUGAAGACAAAAGAUGACUGUGUACAAGCUCUCACCUGGUCAGGCCCUCAUGACUGGCCGCUUACAUUGUCAAAGACAGCUGCUUGCACAGCUGGCCUGAAAGGCAAAUAAGAAACGAUCCAUGGUGUCACCUCAAGUGCCUCCAAAUCACUGAAGCACAUGCUGAGAGCCCACCGCUCACGUUGCAGAUGAGGAAGCAGAGGAGGGGAGGGAGUUGUCUAAGACCACACCGCAGGAUAAGCAUUGGGUGACAGGGUGGGAACCAGGCACCUGGGGAGACAGAGCUGCAAAGGACACUGUCCUCAGCCGUGAGGGCCUUACAACGUGUUAUUGACUGAACUGUGUCCCCUUAAACUCGUAUGUUCCUGACCCUGCAGUACUUCCAAAUCUGGCUGCCUUUGGAGAUAGGGCUUUAACAAGGUUAUUAAGGUAAAAUGAGGUCAUAUGAAUGGACCUUAAUCCAAUAUGACCAGGGUUCUUAUAAAAAGAGGAAAUUAGGACAGAGACACACAAAAGACACACAGAAAAGAUGGCCAUCUACAAGCCACCAUCUACAAGAGGGGCCUCAGAAUGAACCCAACCCUGCUGACACUUUGAUCUUGGACUUCUAGCCACUAGAACGGUGAGGACAUAAAUUCCUAUUGCUUCAGCCACCCAGUCCAUAGUAUUUGUUACACCAGCCACAGAAAACUAGUACAGAACCCUUGAAAACAGACGUGAACACUACUCAUGAGUCCUAGAGUAACAGGGAUUCCGGUGAGCUGCCUGACGGCAGGCAGCACUGUGAAAUCCCCAGCCCCCAAGAUCGCCUGGCACCUGCCUCUUAAUACCGCACUCCAGCUCAGCUCCUUGGCAGCCAGGGCCCCAGCAGGAGGCAGAGGGCACCUCAAACUGGGCAACUGGAGGAACAUUUAAGGCAGGGGCUCUUUACAAAGGUAUGGGCAGGGUUUAGGGAGGUCAGAGAGAAACGAUGCUGCCCUUCUGCAUCCUCCCCUCACACCAGGUCUGCAGGCAUGAGGAGGGAGUGCCUACUAGAACCCAGGGCCAGGACAGGGCCUGUGCAGAGGAGUCCACCUUCAGCAAGAUGGUCCAUCAACACUCUACAACCCAGACAGGGAGACUGAGGAAUAAAUGUCCAGACCUUACUCCCCUCCCACCCUCCUGGUUUCCUGCCAGAGUCCCCCCUUGUCUGAAGCCAACUUGAAGACACCUUUUGAGGACGCCUUCACUGUUCUGGGACUGUGGGGGCUGAGCCUCUGGGAUCAGUCACCUCCCUAACCUCCCGCAUACAAAUUGAUGAGCACACAUUUCAACCUGCUACAACACAGACAAGCAGAACCCCUCUUCAGAAGCACAUUUAUGAAGUUCCCACAGUCACUGGCUCAGAGAGGAAUGCUGCUGUAACAGCUGAGAGAAAACUGAUAACCCUGAAAAAAGCGUCCAUGGAAAUCUCAAAUCCCGCCCAUUGUUUAAAAACAGCGUCUCAC